rnacentral:rRNA from 1 species
GAUGAACGCUGGCGGCGUGCCUAAUACAUGCCAGUCGAGCGAACGGACGAGAAGCUUGCUUCUCUGAUGUUAGCGGCGGACGGGUGAGUAACACGUGGAUAACCUACCUAUAAGACUGGGAUAACUUCGGGAAACCGGAGCUAAUACCGGAUAAUAUUUUGAACCGCAUGGUUCAAAAGUGAAAGACGGUCUUGCUGUCACUUAUAGAUGGAUCCGCGCUGCAUUAGCUAGUUGGUAAGGUAACGGCUUACCAAGGCAACGAUGCAUAGCCGACCUGAGAGGGUGAUCGGCCACACUGGAACUGAGACACGGUCCAGACUCCUACGGGAGGCAGCAGUAGGGAAUCUUCCGCAAUGGGCGAAAGCCUGACGGAGCAACGCCGCGUGAGUGAUGAAGGUCUUCGGUUCGUAAAACUCUGUUAUUAGGGAAGAACAUAUGUGUAAGUAACUGUGCACAUCUUGACGGUACCUAAUCAGAAAGCCACGGCUAACUACGUG